rnacentral:rRNA from 1 species
AUUGAACGCUGGCGGCAGGCUUAACACAUGCAAGUCGAGCGGAGAUGAGGUGCUUGCACCUUAUCUUAGCGGCGGACGGGUGAGUAAUGCUUAGGAAUCUGCCAUUUAGUGGGGGACAACAUUCCGAAAGGAAUGCUAAUACCGCAUACGUCCUACGGGAGAAAGCAGGGGAUCUUCGGACCUUGCGCUAAAUGAUGAGCCUAAGUCGGAUUAGCUAGUUGGCGGGGUAAAGGCCUACCGAGGCGACGAUCUGUAGCGGGUCUGAGAGGAUGAUCCGCCACACUGGGACUGAGACACGGCCCAGACUCCUACGGGAGGCAGCAGUGGGGAAUAUUGGACAAUGGGCGGAAGCCUGAUCCAGCCAUGCCGCGUGUGUGAAGAAGGCCUUUUGGUUGUAAAGCACUUUAAGCGAGGAGGAGGCUACUAGUACUAAUACUACUGGAUAGUGGACGUUACUCGCAGAAUAAGCACCGGCUAACUCUGUGCCAGCAGCCGCGGUAAUAC